UUCCCCAUUGGUUCGCUCGCUCUUCCUUGACGGUACUGAUUGGCCAGAAAUCGCAUUCCUCCCACCCUGCUUGGGUCAGCCGAGAGGUUCCCCCGGGCUCGAUUUCUUUGCUGCGCUUGGUGUGUCUGAUCCGCAGGGAGGGGCGGGGGGGGGAAAGUUUCCCGUUUCGAAAGAGGUGGAAGAAAGUACUUAGGGACAGCGAUUUCCUUGCUAGCACUUUCCCAGUUUCUGUUUCGUUUUACUGUCUCUGCCUUAACCUUACUGCUACACAUUAAGGUUCCUUUCACCUUUGUCAACGAGUGAGCCUUGUGUUGUCGUGUAUAUAACAGACUACCUUGAUUUAGGAGGCGCAAACCUGAGGGACUGAGAAUUAAUGCCGCCCCGGAGUCACCUUGUAGAGGAAGAUGGACGGCAUCGAAAUAUUGCAUCUAUUCUGGAUGAAUACCAAGAUUUAGAUAAAUGUUCCAUCUUUCUUCCAAGAAAAUAAUUUCAACCUUAGAAACACUGUUAAUGUUGACGUGGAAUGAUAACACCAAAUAAAUCCAUAGUUGAUUCUA